CACUUCCCAAGCUGCCCAAUAAAUACGUUUUCUCCUGGGCCCUGUAGGGAGAGGCCUGUGGUCAGGUGAGGACCAGGUGUGGGUGAUGACUGACAACCUUGUGUAUGUAUCUCCCUCAGCAUUCCUGUGGGUGCUGCCAAAUUCAUGUGGAAAAGGAGGAGAGGCGAGAAUAGGGCUCAGCAGUGCUGCCACACCUAGGCAACAAGAAGCCGCAGGCCGGCCGGUGCUCCCCAGGCUCCACUACCUGAAGUUGUUCCCUCCAGACCAGUGAGCAAGACAGUGAUGUUGAUGCACAGUUGUUGACAACAGGAGAAGCCAGGCCAGAGCAGAUGACAGCCAGCGAGGAGAGCAACAUCAUCAGACCAUACUGCUAUAACCAGGACUUAGAGAAGCCCAGCAGAGUGGUAGCUCUGCCCGGCUGUGUAUCCUCACGCGGCCUACACAGAUGAGAGCGAGGAACCUGGCUGUGAGGAGGACGAGGGCCACAGUGGACUGGAAAGCCAGGUAGCCCACACAGAAGCUUAGGUCAAGGGUGCGAAUCCCAUUGGGUGACCAUACAGCCAGAUGUGCUAAACACCGCGCCAGUGAUCAGACACACACUGCUGGUGGCUGUGUAGGAGCUCGCUCUCCAUGUCUCUGCCUAAUUGGGCCCUCUGGAUAUCUCCACUCCUGAGGAUGUUUGUAUACGAGCAUAUACAGUGAUGUGUGGCAGGGUUGGGAGCAUACAGACUAUUGUGUACACUGCUGUCAAAGGCUGCUUGGGAACCCUUCACUUUAUGAGGUGAUCUUACAGUUUUCAGUCCAUAUCUGAAUACUGUGAAUUCACUUCACUCUAAGCUACAGCUCCUGCAUGUAAUAUCAUUUGCCACUGCAAAACUUCCACAAUGCUUACAACAACAACAUUUCCAGUGACAGAGUAGAGCAUUGGCUGAUGAACAUCGUAUUUGAUCAAAUUAUUAGACAUCAAGCAAUCAGCUCCCAGGAACACUGCUCUUUGAGGAUACUUUUGAAUUAUUUUAUGUUUUCUAAAUCCUUUUUUAUAAUAUUUUUGCUUCAUCUUUUGCUUGUUGUCAUAAUGAUAAAAACUACAACAUCCUCAUUUAAGCUACAAUAUGACAAGUGUGACACCUUUCCCAAGUGACACCCAUGUGUAAAUACCCAGAGGGGGCUCGAGGGAGGGAGCCGGGGGGUGAGACGAAAUGGACGACUGAUGUACAAAAGCCAAAGAAAAAAAAAAAAAAAAGAUUAUAAACACUCUGUCACUUGGACUUUUUGUCAGGACAAAAAACUUCUUUCCCGCUCUCCGUCUCUGUCUCUCUGCUUCUCUCUCUCUCCCCCAUCUUUCUUUUUUAGCUCCUUCUCUGAAAAAAAAGAAAGUAUUAAUUUAUUAAAUUUCCUCUCCAUUUAACGACCCCAUUUGGAGAAUUUGCGUUUGAUCCUCACCGGCUCGGCGAGGCGUGAAGAUGGCAGGACGGGGAAGGGAGGAGAUGGAUCCGUCAGCGUGUCACAUAAAUAUCUUAUUAGCCAGUGAUCUUAUCAUCAUAAAGCAGCCCAUUUAUACAGUUAGGCAUGUCAUGUUGGUCAAUUGCACAAAAAAGAAAAAAAAAAUCCAACUGCAUGCAAUAUUAAACCCUCAAAUCUCAUGCCAACACCAUUAAGGGAGUCUCUGAAAUUCUCCUCUUUCUGUCUACCCUCUCUCUUCUUCCUCUCCUGGAUGUGUCUGUGUCAUAAAUCCCCUGGUUCUGGAUUUCUUUUUUUCUCCCUCCACUCCCAAUAGUCUGUUUUUUUUUCUUCAGUUUUUCCAAUUGAAGAAGUUUGAAUUUAUAUUUGAGUGGGGUUAAUGGCAGUAAGUCAAAAAGUGGAGGUGGCAGGUGAGACACACAUACUUUAUACAAUCAUACCAGAGGAAUAAAUGGUUAUUGUAAUUAUUUUCCCCAUGCUUGUACUCAGACACUUGACUUCUUCAUUAGUGCUAUUGCCCACGUUACACAGUUCUACACUUUCACUUUGAGUUAUACACAAACAUUCUCCCAAGAAUGUUUUCUUACUGUCCAGUGGCCAAAAUCUAGAUAAGAAAAGUUCUGAGUUGAUAAGGGUGUAGAUCUUUGAAUACCGCUACAUUCUCUUGAUAUUUUUCAGAAAAAUAUAAAUGUUUUGAUUUACAGUUGACAAUGUUUAAUGUAGUAUUCUACUAAAAAUAAUAGAAAUAAACAUAAAUCAAACAUAAGACAAUAAAUGACACUGCUAAUUUAUGAAAAGAUGCAAGCACAUAAAUAUCAUUAAGGUUUCUGUCAAUAAAACUAGACUAUGUUCAACGAUGUUAGACAUUAUUGUUAUUAUGGAAAGCCUAUUGCAAUAAUAAUAUGUGAAUCUAGGUUGAAUUUAUCCUACAAAUGCAGGAAGUUACAUCCAGUAACAUCAAGUUCCAAGGUUUUUAUUUCUUUAUUCUUUGGAAGAAACCCUGUCUUCAUUGUGUUCUCUUCACUUCUGAAACCAAACCGAUGCCCUUUGAUUUCCUUGCAAUUUUUUGGGGGGCUUUUUUAUUUGGUAGGACAGCUCAAGAUUGACAGGAAAGGGGGUGACAGCGAGAGGCAACGAAGGGCCACGGUUUGGACUCCAACCUAUGGCCGCUGCAGCAAGGACUCAGCCUUGGUACAUGGGCCACCAGUUCUACCAGGUACUGUAAGUCAGGACAUGCACAGCAGCCACUAGUAUCAGCAGAGCCUUGACUAUGGAGGAGCCCACAUCAUAAACUCCACUCUCUCUCAUCAUCUAAUGGUUAACUUAACCAACCCAAGCAGAUGUUAGGAGAAAGACAAGGAUCCUGACAACGAGCCAUUAGAGGACUUGAUCGCCUCGGGCCCGAAGUGCAUCUGAACUGCGGACAAGAAGGAGAAGAGGAAGAGAGCGAGGGUGCCCGCACCAUCUUACAGCCUCCUCUGUUGACAACAACAAGAAAGACCAUCACAGCAAAAUGCCCGCAUGUAUGGACAUCAAUUAUUUUUUAAUUGUGAAAGAGUACAGUACACUAAUUAAAACUUGUAUAUCUUGCCAUGCCAAAGGCAAAAUUAAUAAUUGAUAUUUUAUUAAUAUUCAAAAGUAGCACAGGGAAUAUAUUAAAGGGAUUUUGUGGUUGCAGAAAAUGAUCUAGUAGCCAGCUGUGUGUGUGUGUGUGUGUGUGUGUGUGUGUGUGUGUGUGUGACCUGUUUCUGAUAAAUUAGACUACUCCACCCCUCUUUUAGUCAGACCGAGCUCAGUUUAGCCCCAGAGAGAGAGGGAGACAGAGGGUGGAUAAAGGGGAUUUGUUUUGUGGGACUGUGGUUAAUUUCACUGUCAAUUCACAAUUGACUCUGAAUUUUAAAAUAUUCCUGAAAAAUACAGCAAAUCCCAUCUAACCCUCAAUCAAACACUAAACGAAAAACACAAUGUUCCCAGAAUUGUGCCACCAAAUUGCCAAACCAAAUCUGAUCAUGGAAGCUAACUUUUUUUUGCAUUGUUUGGAGGAUUCUGGAGUUUUACCACACGUAUUCUGUGCAGGAACACCUCAUAUUCUUUAGAUUUUGUACGUGAAUGUUCCCAGUAGUUCACUCUACCGCUGUGAUCUCAGCCAUUAAUUGGACUGAGAAUUUUGUUCCUCUUGACAUAUUACCAAACUUGACAUUUUACCAAAAAAAAAAAAAAAAGGAGAAGAAGAAGAAGAAAAGAAAGUGAGAGAAAGAGGAAAGAGAGCUCAACUCAACCCUGACAUGUUUGGUUUAAGCAAAGUUUUGACCUUCUUGGGAGAAACUUUGAUUUUAAUGGAUAUUAUUCAAAAGAAAUCCCUGUCCAUUGCUGUGGACCUGACCCGGCUUUGUUGACCCAGCGCUCCCUCGUGAGACCAAAAUGGGACAUCAAAUCACUCAAAAGGUUCACACUCUCUCUCUGUAAAUUUAAUUCAGGAAUAUAGAGCUACAUCUCUGGUAUUUUAUGUGAUUAAUUACUUGAUUUAAUAUUUAAUUCUGAGUUUUCUUCUGAAUUAGUUCUUCACGUUAAGGCUUAAUGUAUUCCAGAGUUUAACUACCGCUGAAAAUGUCUGGGUGGUCACACUGCCCCGAAGAGCUGGUGGCCCUAAAGGAGUACCACAGAGGACAUUUUGACAUGUCACAGUAGGAAAAGCAAAAGUGCCAAUAAUGAAAUUAAUGAUGCCUGAAUUAAAUGCUUCAGUUUCAGGGUCCUGGUAUUGUAGAUGCUGACUCACUGUCACACUCUCAUGGCUUACUGGGACACUUGAAUAGACCCAUUUGUUAAUGUUAAUGUUUUUCCUACUUUGGCAAGUCAAAAAGGAAAAAGAAUAUCAGAGUUUCUCAGCCCAACAUGGGGUCACUCGAUAAGCAGUUCCUGAAUGAUGGAUAAUAUUCCUGUAUUUAAAAUAAUCUAUUUGGUGAACUUGUGGAAGACACAACACAAAAUAUUCACAACAUUUCUGCCUCCUAUAGGAACUUCCAACCUUGUUGAAUGCCUCAUCAGAUAAAGAGUCAUUUUAAAGUGAGGGGUUCUGCAAGUCCUUGGGAGGCGGAAAGCACAGAUUUUUGGUCUCAUCACCUGCACAUGACAGAUGUGCCGAUGUUUAGUGCACUGAUUGAUCACAGACUUGAACCACAAAAAUAAAUAAAGUCAAUCUGGACAUCUCUGGAGUGAUUUUGCACAACAAAAGCACAUGGUAACCAAAUUUACAUGCCAUUUUAUUUGCAGGAGUCAUGAGGUUUGUGUGACCUAAAAGCAGCUGAAGUACUGCAUAUCCAGACAAGGCAACUACAUCAUGACCAAAGACACAAACCAGGACUGAUGCCACUGUAAUCAUGAUGAAUGGAAGGCAGAAGACACGUCACCAUUUCCUCUCGACUUGAUAAAUGGUGUAAUAUACUCUUAUUUAGCAAAAAAAGAACCUAAUCAUAGAUCUUUGGAUUGUGGUAAUAUUCCACAUCAUAUGUACUUAAAGAGCACUUAUGGAAUAUCUAUUUUCUUUGCCUUUUGUCUUCCUUUUUUUGCUGUGAACUAGAGAAUGAAGAGAACAUUUUUGUCAAAUGGUUUGGCUCAUUCAUAGCAAUUAAAAUAUUCUUUAUUUUUGUUUUCAUGUAAUCAAAUUUUGAAAUAAUUGCUGAUCAAUAAUUUCUGUUCAGAAACACCUAACCCUAACCCUAAACCUAACCCAAAUACAUGAUAUGUGAAGGAUUUCUUAUCCAAACAGAGUACAUAAACAAUUGUUUAAUAGUUCCUACAAUAUAUUUUAUCUCCUGCGAGAAGCUCUGCAGUGUUAUCAUUCAGAUCAUACAUACAGACUUACAGUAUGCUCCCUCCAUACAAAGCCUGUUACUGCUCCAUUCUUUAUGAGCCUGCCCAGUGGCGACAGUCGCAUCUUGCUGAAAUAUUUGUGGAUGAAGCCAUAACAUCACUAAAUUCACAUAAAAUGGAACUUUAUGAAAAUGCAAUGUUUCAAAAAAAAAAAAAAAAAGUGAAGAUGCAGUGAGAGCUUUUAGCGAGCCCAAAGCGACAAGUUAUAGGGGAUUUUUAUGAAGAGAGGAUUCAACUAUUUCCGUUGCACACUUAGCACUUAAAACAGCACAUUUGGACACAAAUGUAUGUUGUUUAAUGAGGUAAAAUCUCUGCAACAAAUAAUUUAAAAGAGGACACUCGGAUUUGUUUUUGUUAAGUGUACCUGAUGUGUUGCUGUUUUAGCAUUCCAAAUCUACAGCACCUAUCCUUUUUAAUUAUUUUCAGUCGUGUUACAGAAAAAUCGCCACACUUAUUGUUCAUAUCCUCAAGUCUUUAUUGUUCUCAUAUUGUUUUGCCAGAUAGAGUUGAGGUUAAUAUAUUCUAGCUUUUAAGCCACAUUAUCCUCCUAAUUAUGAUUCAACCUUGGCUUUGCUCUCUACCUCACUCUUUUUUUAAUCUCAUUCUUUUUUGUCCUCGAUUCUCCUAAUGAAUGUUUUUUUAUUGUUGUCUACUUAGCAUUAUAGAGUAUUUGUCAUAUAUGCUUUUUCCUCCCAUCCCUGAUAUAAAUUACAGUAUGACUUGAGAAACUUUAAAUGGUCUGCCACCAUCGUUGGCCCUGUAUGAAAUUAAUUGCUGCCAUGACAGAUGAUUGCAGGCGACGUUAAGGUCAUUAAGUUCUGCAUACACUGUAAUGAGGUAGGCACCAACACAUGCGAUUGGCUGCCUAUUAUUUACCAGACUACUGAGGUUGGCUCAUGCUAUUUUGCCCUUCAUACCGAGAGAGGAGAUUUUUUCCCCACUCGCUUGGGAACAAGAGAGCUGGAGGAGAAAAGAAAGAAAAGAAACAUCACUUUUUUGUCUUUCGGCGUCACAUGAAAGCGGUCAUGUGUAUGUGUGGAGACGGAGAGCGAAGGAAGCGGGCGGGAGCUGGGUGGCGGCGGCGGCGGCGGCAGUGGGGGGAGUGGAUGUGACAGUUUUAAAGAGUCUGAACAUGUAAAUCAAAAAUAGUUUGGGCCUUAAUGGAUGUGUUUUAGCAGAUCUCUCCCAGACAAGGCCCCCUCAUCCUGCGUCCCUGCGACCCGCUUGCCUGUCUGGUGGGAUGAUGUUUACAAUAAUGGGGAGAGGCAGUCCAAUUUCACCCAACACGCCAGGCACGGCAGCCACCUCUCUGCGCCGGCCCCUGCGCCACAUUUGAAAAGAGAUGAGAUUGAAAACAACACUAACUUCAUGUACAGGGCGACGUGGGGAGAAGCAGAGUCGUGCCACAGACGAGCAUCAGACGCAAUUUCACCUUGGCAGGGCGCUUGUCAAAAUCAAGAAAUAUCACAGUUUGUUUCUUUGUCUCUUCCUGCUUUCCUCCUUGUUUUCCCUAUAACUGUAUUUUCUACUCUUGGGGUGUCACUCACACAUGCAAACACAUUUUCAUACUAACCCACAUAAAGAAGGCCCAAAUAGACUUCUUUGUAUCACCUGACAGCUUUCAGAUGCAGCACACACCAACACACACUGUAAGGUCCUGAGGGAGUGAUGUGAAAAUCCCAACACAAGGAUUUCCUUUUGCUUUUUAUUGUCUGUCCUCGCAUCCAGACACCAACGAAUAAUGAGAACUGACAUCUGUCCACCUGUCCAAACAUACAGUGCGCACUAUAUGUCUGCUGCUUCCGGCGAUGCAUCUCUCAACAACAAGCCAAAGGAAGUGAAAUAGACAGAGAUGACCAAGAAAAACAACAAAAUAAAGUAAAUAAUAUCCUUUGGGAAUUCUGAGUGGAAAAAUAAUCGUACACACUUGUUCUAGUAUAGCAGGCGGGUGUGAAGUGCUGAUAUCAAAAUAACAAAUCCCCAGUAAUUUUCUCCAGUGAAAAGUUUUAAUUAUGCGUUGAUUUUCUGGUGUGGAAGUGCAUUAAUGAGGUAUUUGUUUUGGUUGGCGGCACGGCUUGAGAGAGGCGAGGUGUCAGGGGAGAACAGGAGCUGGUUGUGACAACGAGCAAGGUGACAAUGAAGGAUUUGAACACAGAGAACCUGGUCUUGUAAUGUUUUUCACUGAUGUACUUCACUUUCCACUACAUUUACGUGUGUAUCUGUGUGUGUGUGUGUGUGUGUGUGUGUGUGUGUGUGUAUGUGUGUGUUUGUGUGUGUGUGUGUGCAAAUGGCCAGGAGUGGUAUCUAAACAAACUUAAAUAAUUAAGUUCGGUUUUAUUGUAUUUUUUAUGUGUGUAUUUUAUUUAGGUCACUAGUUUCAUAUUGUGUGCAUACUGAUAUUAAUGGCCACUUAAAAUUGAAAGAACACAACCAGAAGAUAACAAUGAAAUUGGACAAUAGUAACAAAUCACCAUAAUAUACCAACAGGGUUUGUUUUGGUUGUUUAAGGGGCAAUACACAUUUCAACUUGGUUAGUAUGAAAAAAAGGGGGAAAAAAGUUGUGCAAUCUCUUCUGUGUAUCUGGAGGAGCUGGAGAAAAUAACCCUGAUGAUGCCAUGGUGAUGUUUUCAGGGCGUUGUCAGACUAAACAUUUUUAAUAGAAAUACUGUGUUACAUGUAUGAAUCCUCCUCAGUUUACAGUUUGUGGUUCUACACACCUGUCACCUAAGGGUGCUUUGAGUUUAGUAUGAGUGAGGGUUUGUGGAUGCUGGCAAGUGACUUAAUGCAUUCUAAAAACGUACUUAUCCUUGGUGGUUUCAGUGCAUACGGUUUUAAUUGCCUAUGUUUUAAAACAUGUACUACCCUUUUUUACAACAUUCGAAAGUACGCAUUUAUUUUGUAAACUGGGUGAACCAACCAUUUAAGGUUUAAAGGUUAUGAAUAUAUAAUAUUUAAAAUAUUAAUAUAGUAGCAAAAAACUAUUGUCUAUGUAACGAUAUAGUGGACUCUUGGUGUCCUGUGCAAAUAAUGACAUCACACUCCCUCUGCCUGUGUUGCUAUCAAAGCCUCUCUGUGGUUUGUUCACGUAGCCAGUCUGCUCCAUGUGCAGCUGACUGAAACUGAAUUUAUUUCAACCAAACCAGAGCUGGUGUUUAUUGGAACAGUGUAAAGACUGACAAAUAUGUUUUCUGCUUUAUUUACAAAGAUUUUUUUUGUUUCUGUCCACUUUGAAUGAAGUUGUGAUGUUAAAAUGAUAGGUGAGGUAAAAUUACCGUUUUUGUCUAUGGAGUCUGGUGGCGAGCCGUUGCGAUAUCACGGCUGUUUCUGGUUAAACAAAAUCUUUUCUAUAAUGUGGCAAAAACAACUUUUAGUGGACAUGCUUUGACAGACGUAUUCGUCCCCAAGAAUUAACGUUAGCUUAUGUUGCAGCCCUUUUCACAAAUAUUUUCACAUGGACCAAACCAGCAUUGGUGAUUGCUGGAAAGACUGUGGCAAGACUAACAAAUAUGUUUUUGGCGAGUUUUAUUUGAUUUCUGUUCCAUUGUUUUGAUCUGAGAUGCUGGCUCUCUAGUGCAUCUAGUGGUAAGUAUAUUUCGUAUAUAACCUUCAAGAUAUACAAGAACACUGUGGCAAGAUAUUACAUUAUAACAAAGGCAUAUAUUAUAUAUAUAUUAUAAUUGUUUACACAAGGCAUAUAAUACUUAAACUCAGUGUUAGUGUAGCAUUAAUAAAUGACACUGUUGGCCAGAUAGCGACAGAAAUUGAACAGCUCCAUUGAGUUAGAAACAUCAAAUGCUCUGGACAAAUCCAGGUUGUAUUGUACAAAUUCCAGGCUGGAGCAGCAGGUGUUAAAGCCCAGACACUGCCACCCACUCCAACAACCUUCUCUAUCCCCCUGUAAGUGUCCUCACAUUUGGAUCUUUUCUCCCCGACCCCUCUAACCUCAUAUUGUACCCCUCCAUGCUCUGUACUCUAAUCCAGGCACUGGUCCUUCACUAAGUCAUCCUCAUAAAUAAGGUCAGCGCAGACAAAGAGAGGAGAUGUUAGGGUGGAAAAUCACAUCAGAGGAAUAAAACCUGGUUAUUUUUGUACGUUUGUACGAAUCCUUAUUGUGCGAAGGGUCAAGCACCCUUCGUUUUGCUCUGAUCUCAUGGGAAGGUGGAGAAAGAUGAGAGGAGAGAAAGAGAAGUUCAUUUUAUUACAGAAAAAAGAGAGAGAAUGAGGGCAGGGAUUUCGCUGACGAUUGGGGAAGAAUGAAAAGGUUAAUUGGGCUAUUAUCCGGCUGUAGUUUUGGAAGGAUUUAUAAGAUGUCCGGGACUCGCUCUCACUUUCUCUCAUUCUGUUUGAGACAUGUGCUCAUACACACACAAGUGCACACUACCUCACACUUGUCCACAUACGCACACAGUUUUCAUCAGAAUCUCAACAAUAAAAGAAGACAUAAGAUUAUGUAUGCUAAAAACCACACGCUUUCUCAGUUUUGCUGUUUGUUCCACACAAUAAAUGGUGUAAUGUUAAUAAUAAAACAAGAAGGUGCUGCUGGAAUAUGUGUUCAUGUGUGGUUUACACCAUGUGCACAUACGUUUUAGGAGCAGAAUAAGCUGAGUGUGAUGUGACAAAGAGAGGAAUGCUAAAGAGGGGGUGAAAUUUUAUUCUAAGACUCAAAGGAGUAGUACAUCAUUUUGGAAAAUAGUUACAGCAUGUAACAAUUCCAUAAAACCACAUAUUUGCAUUUACAUUAUACACUUCUUGUGUGCCUGUGUAUGGAUUAAAUAAACAGGACACAAUGUGUUAAUAGGUGAGCUUUAGGGAUAGUAUGAAGCAUUUCUUUGUUUUGUUUUUUUACUUUAAACAAAGCCAGGCUAGCUGUUUCCUCUGCCUCCUUGUGUUUUUUGUUACCUUGGAAUGACCCGUUUUUAUCUACAGAUGCCAUGGGUUGCGUUCCGUGUAGUCUGCCAUAUUGAACCACCAUGUUUCUCCAACACACAUUCUCUGUAUUUGACGACUUGAGAAUUCAAGAAUGUGGAACGGUUACAUGAUAGUCGGUAUUUUGAGUGGCAUCACUCAAACUAUGUGCUCUGAAUGCAACAAGGUAGUGCCCCUUUUCUUUAGGUUGACAUUCAGGGAAAAUUAAGGAAACCAUCACAUAAAUGUAAUUAACCCCCUGUUAGAAUUCAAUAAAUCAUCACACAAAACUGAGUACAACAGUUUAGGAUGGUCUGAUUCUUAAAUGUAUCUUUAUCAGUUAAUCAAGUCAGAUUCAGUCUUAUCUCUCCAAAUCAAUAUAGUUAGAUUACUUCCUGAUCAUGCUAACAGUGUCCUACUGAACACAUUCAAAUGUAAAGUCACCUUACAAAGAGAGCUCUUCAUUUAACCUUGGUAUGAACUCAAGUGUUACACUGAUGCUAUCACAGUGAUACAAUGCCUGUCUUAUCAGUGAAUACGCAAAUACACCCAAUCAAUGAGGAGCCUCUCUGUCAACAGCCUUAGAAUGAAUGAGGUUGAAUUAACAAAUGAAUACGUGUAUAGUAAUGUAAUGUAACAUGCAAGUACAAUUGUUAUUGAGACUGAACCAAAACAGUAAAGUUGCAGGACGGGAAGCCAAAACAUUACACCUCUGAAUGGUACUGAAUGACUGCGCAAUUACAAGUAAAUCAAGUUGUCAAGAUGGGAAUGAUAGCAGGUUCCUGUGCUUGGAAUUU